rnacentral:rRNA from 1 species
UACGGGGGGGCAAGCGUUGUUCGGAAUUACUGGGCGUAAAGGGCUGGUAGGCGGCCAACUAAGUCGGAUGUGAAAUCCCCAGGCUUAACCUGGGAACUGCAUCCGAUACUGGUCGGCUUGAAUCCGGGAGAGGGAUGCAGAAUUCCAGGUGUAGCGGUGAAAUGCGUAGAUAUCUGGAGGAAUACCGGUGGCGAAGGCGGCAUCCUGGACCGGCAUUGACGCUGAACAGCGAAAGCUAGGGAGCAAACGG